AGCCGAUUUAAAUAAUAAAAGAAAAACAAAUUAAUAAGAUAAACAUUUUGUAUUUAAGCCUCUAUAUUUUCUUUAUUUUCAAUAUGUUGUAAUAUAUAAAGGAGAUUUUAUAUUGGGAACCUAGAAAAACUUUUAUUCUUUUUUCCUAUAUGCCAGCGGAAGCCACGGUUUCAAUGUUUCAUCCAUCCGGACUGACGCGCGUGGGCGGACCGACUUGGGAUCGACGAGCGGAAAAAUUUGGCAGAUUGAAAUUUUUGCAAUUUAGUAGUAGGGAUAGAUUAGCGUACGUGUGUUCGUGUAUGCAUGAUGUGGACCUCUAAAUUGUACUAUAUAAUUCUAAAAAAACAUGACAAAGCCUACAAAAAAUAGUAGAAUACAAGAAACACAUGAGGUAAUUAUGUUCGCCAAAACGUAGGUGAAGGAGGUAUUUUUUUUCUUUUUUAACCUGUUUUUAAAACUUAUUUUAAGAAUAACCUUUAGCUAACUUUUAUUUUUAUUUCUAGCCCUUUUGCCAUGCCAACAUCCUUGACAUGGUAGAAAAACGUUGCCCAUAUGUAUUGGCAUGGCAAGAUGUACAUACUAGAACGUAAAAAUCCGACGUGAAAAUUUUAUCGGGCCACUCCGUUGGCACAAUAACAUUAUUUUGCCACCCCCAUCGUCCGAAUUAGUGUGGCAACACUUAUGCUAAAACACACAAUCAUUGCCAGAACAUCACAAUCGAUUACGCUAGACCCAGCAAUAACUAUUUAACACUGCCAGACCGUAAGGCUAGGACCUAGAAAAUUAGCAACAAGCUAAUCACUCUAUAACAUCAUUGAUUCUUCACCAUUGAUCUCACCUACCAAUGUUGCUUACUUGCUUCUAGUUAUAAAAGCAGCAUCUAGACGUCUCCACGGCUAAGGAUGCACUACCAAAAGGGUGAAAUUCUCCUAAUAUUUUUAUAUAGUAAUAAAAUACUAUCACUCCCUUGCUCCAUUGGUCCUUGUUCUUUUGUCUCUG
rnacentral:lncRNA from 1 species